ensembl:lncRNA
CGGGGACAGGAGACGUGCUCGGCCUGCCGCCACCUCUGGUCCUAGGAUCUUUCAAGAAGGGGCGCAGCCCACCCCCGGCCCUCCCUAACCAGCUCCCGUCAGGCCAACAGGGGUCGCUGAGCUUCUGGCCACACACCCAGGAGGACCCCAAGGGCCAGCCGGCCGUGCAGGCUGAGCGCAUGGUCUUGGAGGGCGGGGGGAGGGCUUGCAGCAGCGGGAGGGUGAGCGGGCUGGACGUGGGCGGUGUGUGUUGCCAGGGGAGGGCCAAGCCGGACCAAGUGCAUUCUGUCUGAGGGACCAGGGCCAGUCUCGCUGGCCCCCUCAGCCCUAGUGACCUGCUUGGACAGGAACAGGGAGGCCAGCCCGGGACGUGCAGAGCCCUCCGGGCCCGGGCGGGGGACGAGGAGGCACCUCCCAAGUGCAAGGAGGCGGAGCACCAGUGCCAACCGUCUCCUUCGCGGGGCCUUCCACCCCCGCCCCAUCCAGGGGCCGGGCAGGACGGGACAGCGAGGGCAGCGGGGCCUCUGGUGCUGACCAGCCCUGACACGAAGCGGCACCGGGCACAGGACCCAGAGGCCCCCGUACACGACCCCAAGGCCCAGAGUCGUGGUCUCGCAGCCCCUGCUGGGCCCCGAGCAGGGACGUCCUCCUGCCUCACUGACGGGACCCAAGAGCUGGAAGGCGGGUUGGGCUCCGGGCCCCGAGUCCCAGCACCAACUCCGUCGGGGGGCCUGUACUAGUGCCGUCUCUGCACUCUGUACUUACCGUCUCUGCUCUCCAGCCCUGGCUCCCGCAGGGUGCUGGCGGCAGGAGGCUGGCUCUGGCUUGGACUCUGGGCCGGACUCAGGCUGCUCCCAUCUGACUGGUCCUUGGCCCGCAUUUCUUCCUGCCAGAGUGUAGACUUGGUCGGGGGGACCUUCUCAGCACUGGGGAUGCUGCUGCUGCUGCUGGUAAAUGGGUUUUGCCUGGAGAAAAAGGCAGGGCAGGUCAUCAGGGGCCUUGGACAGGUUCAAGCUGGGGACAAGCUGACAGGGACUCACUGGAAACAGAAUCCACCUGUGCUCAGCACACGCCAAGCAUCUCAUUGCCUGGCCCAGCCCACCUCCAAGAAACACGGUCCGGAGCCAGAGGCUUGGGUGGGUCUGCAGCACUGGCUGUGGAGCAGAGGAUGCAACACCCAGGGGGAGCCUGAAAACCGGGAGGACACAGAAACACCCAAGACACAGCCACCUUGCUCGAGUUCCCGAUCAAGCUACCAAGAUGGGGAAACGGUGGCACUGUCUGCAGUAACCUGUGAGUGCCAGCGUGCAGGCAGGAGGCACACGGGCGGACAGCAGCAGUCGCAGGCCCUCAUCCUGAUGGUGCAAAACGGAGCGGAGGCUUUAGCGACCACGACGCGCUCUGGCCCCAGAGUCGUCAACCUGCCGGCCGCAGGGCCUUGGGCCACGGACCCUGGACUUCCUGCCUUCCCCUUUGAUAGUGAGAGUAAUGAAAAUUUCACCUACACCUCGUGACAUCUAUGGAGGACUGAUGCGAUAAUGCAAGGAGAGCACGGCACAGCACGGGGACGCACGCGGCCCCGGGGGAAACCAGUCCGGCAGGUCCUCAAGGGUACACUCAGAGUUCCACUCCCAGGUACACACGCACCCAGGGAGGAGGCCCUGUCAUGGCUCAGCCGAAACGAAUCUGACUCGCAUCCAUGAGGACGCAGGUGCGAUCCCUGGCCUCACUCAGUGGGUUAAGGACCCGGGCAUUGCCAUGAGCUGUGGUGCAGGCUGUAGAUGUGGCUCGGAUCCCGAGCUGCUGUGGCUGUGGUGUAGGCUGGCAGCUAUAGCUUCUAUUCGACCCCUAGCCUGGGAACUUCCAUAUGCCACGGGUGCAACCCUAAAAAACAAAACAAAAACAAAAAACCACACACCCAGGGAGACUGAAAGCAGGUGAUCAAGCCAAAACGUGGACGUGAAGUUCACAGCAGCACUAUUCACAGCCACAGGGGAGAAACAGGCCAGUGUCUAUCAGCAGAGGAACGGAUAAACGACACGUGGUCUAACCACACGAUGGAAUACUAUUCAGUGAUAAAAAGGCAGGGAGCACCACCACGUUACAGUGUGGCUAAACCUUGAAGGCAUUAUGCUAAGUGAGAAAGAGAGACCCCAAAGACGACACCUCGCAGGAUUCCACUUCCGUGGAAGGCCCAGAAUGAGGAAAUCCAGGGANNNNNNNNNNNNNNNNNNNNNNNNNNNNNNNNNNNNNGCAAGAGUGGAAGACGUGGAGGGAGCAGGAAAUGGGGGUGGCUGCUAACAGGUGUGGGGUUCUUUCGGGGGUGAUGAAAAGAUUCUGGAAUGAGAUAGUGGAAUUACUUGCACGAACUUGUAAGAAUGGCUAAAAACUACAAAAUCGUAUGCUUUAAAAGGGUAAAUUCUGGAGUUCCCACCGUGGCACAGUGGGUCAAAGAUCUGGUGUUGUCUCUGCAGCGGUUUGGGUUUGAUCCCCAAGCCAGCACACUGCACUGCUGAAGGUGGCAGUUCCCUGGCCCGGAACCUCCAUAUGCCGCAGGUGUGGCUGAAAAAGAAAAAAAGAAAAAAGAAAGGGUGAAUUUUAUGGUAUGUGAAUUAUCUCAGAAAAACUGCAUGAGAAAAAAAUAAAUAACCUGAGCAUUGUCUGGCUUAUAAGAACUGAAUAAAUGUUAGCUAUUCUUACACUUUUUUAGAGCCUAAGAGUCCCUCCAUUCCGAGGACCCUGGCCACAGGGCUUCCUCAGGAGCUGAAAGCGGAGACAGACACUCAGGCUCCAGCUCCCGGUUCAGCCACGCCCAGCUCCUGAGGAAGCGGCAGGAAAGGCACAGGCAGGCCCAGGGCUCCGCCGCCACGAGCUGGAGGCCAGGAACACAAAGCAACCCCCCACCCCACCCCCGCCUGCUGAUCCCACACCGCGGCCAUCUCUGGGGAAGGCCUGGGGGUCCUCUUAAGAGCGUUCCAUUCCAUGCUUCCAAACUGGAAGGCCUUGUCCCAACACCUCAUUCUGAAAAGCUGCAGAAUCUGUGGCUCGGAGAGGGAAGGUCACCUCUCAGAGGUCACAGAGCAUGCGGCUGAGCCUCUCUCCUUGGUUUCUGCAGGGUCCUCAGGCCCCCAGGGGAGACAGUGGCUUUCACCCAAGAACAGAAGAGGGGGACGAGGGCGCUGAUGGAAGGAAAUGAGACUGGCUUUGGCAAAACCCGGGAGUGGGUGCCGGCAGGCAACCAGCGUCAGAGGGACUGCCCUGGAGGGCCUGUGGGGUGCAGGGCACGAAGCGCCACCCGGGCGGGACAGCAGAGUGGAGAGGAGGAAAGGUGUGUUUCCUCAGCCAACACCAGAGGCACCCGGCCUCCCUGAGGCGCGGGCCAGUGCACUGGGCCUCUCUCGGCGCCACUGCACACCCGGAGCAGAGCCGCCGCCGCCGCCCGCACACAGGAUGGCCGGGGCAGUGCCCGGGGGC